rnacentral:tRNA from 1 species
GCCGGGGUGGUGAAACUAGGGAAACACGCAUCACUCAAAAUGAUGUGAGCGCAAGCUCUUGAGGGUUCGAUUCCCUCUCCCGGCACCA